AACGAACGCUGGCGGCAAGCUUAACACAUGCAAGUCGAACGGUAACAGGAAACAGCUUGCUGUUUCGCUGACGAGUGGCGGACGGGUGAGUAAUGUCUGGGAAACUGCCUGAUGGAGGGGGAUAACUACUGGAAACGGUAGCUAAUACCGCAUAACGUCGCAAGACCAAAGAGGGGGACCUUCGGGCCUCUUGCCAUCGGAUGUGCCCAGAUGGGAUUAGCUAGUAGGUGGGGUAACGGCUCACCUAGGCGACGAUCCCUAGCUGGUCUGGGAGGAUGACCAGCCACACUGGAACUGAGGCACGGUCCAGACUCCUACGGGAGGCAGCAGUGGGGGAUAUUGCACAAUGGGCGCAAGCCUGAUGCAGCCAUGCCGCGUGUAUGAAGAAGGCCUUCGGGUUGUAAAGUACUUUCAGCGGGGAGGAAGGGAGUAAAGUUAAUACCUUUGCUCAUUGACGUUACCCGCAGAAGAAGCACCGGCUAACUCCGUGCCAGCCGCCGCCGUAA
rnacentral:rRNA from 1 species